rnacentral:rRNA from 1 species
AGUGAACGCUGGCGGUAGGCCCAACACAUGCAAGUCGAACGGCAGCACAGUAAGAGCUUGUUCUUACGGGUGGCGAGUGGCGGACGGGUGAGGAAUACAUCGGAAUCUACUUUUUCGUGGGGGAUAACGUAGGGAAACUUACGCUAAUACCGCAUACGACCUACGGGUGAAAGCAGGGGAUCUUCGGACCUUGCGCGAUUGAAUGAGCCGAUGUCGGAUUAGCUAGUUGGCGGGGUAAAGGCCCACCAAGGCGACGAUCCGUAGCUGGUCUGAGAGGAUGAUCAGCCACACUGGAACUGAGACACGGUCCAGACUCCUACGGGAGGCAGCAGUGGGGAAUAUUGGACAAUGGGCGCAAGCCUGAUCCAGCCAUGCCGCGUGGGUGAAGAAGGCCUUCGGGUUGUAAAGCCCUUUUGUUGGGAAAGAAGAGCAGCAGGUUAAUACCCCGCUGUUCUGACGGUACCCAAAGAAUAAGCACCGGCUAACUUCGUG